GACGAACCGUGCAAACGUUGUUCGGAAUCACUGGGCUUAAAGGGCGCGUAGGCGGCUCAUCAAGUCGGGGGUGAAAUACUUCAGCUUAACUGGAGAAGUGCCUUCGAUACUGGUGGGCUUGAGGGAGGUAGGGGUCUUUGGAACUUCUGGUGGAGCGGUGAAAUGCGUUGAUAUCAGAAGGAACGCCGGUGGCGAAAGCGAAGGACUGGACCUCUUCUGACGCUGAGGCGCGAAAGCUAGGGGAGCAAACGGG
rnacentral:rRNA from 1 species